UUCUAAACUCAAUCUCGCAAAUUGUAUAAGACUUCUUUUUUUCUAUCAAGAUCGAUAAAUUUCAUCUAGGUGCAUCCUACUCCAAAUAGUGAACCAAACCUACUGAAGCCAACAUACAUAGCAAAGAUCAAAAUAGCUAGAGACCAAAGAAAUAUGCGGUCAAACUUAGUAGCCUCGCUAUAAAUAGUUGAUGACACCAUAGGUCAAAGGAUUACUCACACUACUGC
rnacentral:lncRNA from 1 species